GCGAAUAUAGUAUAAUGGUAUUAUGUUAUCCUUCCAAGUUAAAGAUAUGGGUUCGAUUCCCAUUAUUCGCU
rnacentral:tRNA from 1 species